UACAGAGGGGGCAAGCGUUGUUCGGAAUUACUGGGCGUAAAGGGCGCGUAGGCGGCCUUCUAAGUCGAACGUGAAAUCCCCGGGCUCAACCCGGGAACUGCGUCCGAUACUGGAAGGCUUGAAUCCGGGAGAGGGAUGUGGAAUUCCAGGUGUAGCGGUGAAAUGCGUAGAUAUCAGGAGGAACACCAAUUGCGAAGGCAGCUCGCUGGGACGUUACUGACGCUGAGACGCGAAAGCGUGGGGAGCAAACAGG
rnacentral:rRNA from 1 species